rnacentral:rRNA from 1 species
AGUUUACUUAACAGAUUCCUUCGGGAUGACGUUUUUAAACUUAGUGGCGGACGGGUGAGUAACGCGUGGGUAACCUGCCUUACACAGGGGGAUAGCAGUUGGAAACGACUGGUAAUACCGCAUACCUUACAUUAUUCGCAUGUUUGAUGUAAGAAAGAUUUUAUCGGUGUAAGAUGGACCCGCGUCUGAUUAGCUAGUUGGUGUGGUAACGGCAUACCAAGGCGACGAUCAGUAGCCGGCCUGAGAGGGUGAACGGCCACAUUGGGACUGAGAUACGGCCCAGACUCC